rnacentral:rRNA from 1 species
GGUUUGGCACCUCGAUGUCGGCUCGUCGCAUCCUGGGGCUGUAGUCGGUCCCAAGGGUUGGGCUGUUCGCCCAUUAAAGCGGCACGCGAGCUGGGUUCAGAACGUCGUGGGACAGUUCGGUCCCUAUCCGUCGCGGGCGUUGGAAAUUUGAGAGGAGCUGUCCUUAGUACGAGAGGACCGGGAUGGACUUACCGCUGGUGUACCAGUUGUUCUGCCAAGGGCAUUGCUGGGUAGCUA